CCGUUCUACCUCCGUCCGCUGUACGGCGCCUCUCUUCCACUCUGUUUCCCUCCCUCGCUCCCCUUCCUAGCUUCAAAGUUCCAAGUUCCCCCCCUAAACUCCUCCAAGAGCCCCCAAACCCUUUCGUUUUUUAUCUGAUUACGACGAUAUUAUCCGCUGGGUGAAGAUCUUCUCCUCGAUUUUGUGUUUAUCUCAAAGGAUUUUUCCUCCAGAUUGUUCGCUGGCUGAAGAAUCCCCAUCUCCGGCAGCUUUUGAUGAAUCUGCCAGGAGGUAUUAGUGGCCGGGUCUAAGGAGAGCGACAUUCAUGUUCAGUAAAACACAAUCUUAAAACCUGAAAGUUAUGUGGAAAUCAAGCCUCUUCACAUCAAGACAUACUCGUGGAGACAUCCGCAGCAUUACCUACUGGUGGGGUUGGUGAUGCCACAUGGUAGGUGUUGCUGCAUGGCUGCUAAAUGAUGCUAUAGCAUAAGAGCACCAGGUGGAGUUGGCACUCGGAAAUGUAUCAUUCAACAUUGUGCAAGCUCAAUUCCUUGGAUAAAAUGAUGAAAUGCUGUUUGAGACAGUUUGUCCCUCUAAGGCAUAGGUCAGAGAACUAGUAAAUGUGGGGUCUUGGUUGCAAGCUGAAAGGUGAGAAAAUGGGGACAUCCUUUUGAAAACAGAAAAUGGAGGAGAUAUUACGAAAGUCUCCAGGCACUUGACCUUGGAUCCUUCUAAAUGGUGAAGUAGGAUUCAUAAAGCCUGCCUAUUAUUGAUGGGUUAAAGAUUGUUCUCCGCACAUAUGUUGCUCUGUAAUUAAUUCAUUUUGUGUCAACAAAUUAAUGUACUCUUGUUUCCAUUUAAAAAUUAAUGAAGUUUAUCUAUCAUGUUUAUAAGAUCUAACUUUUAAAAUUUACUUGCUCAGAAUGAUUUGAAUUAUGUUGGCAGUUCAGAACCCAAUAGAUCUCAUAAGUUUUUCCUUCCAUGCAGUUUCUGUAAUCCUUUUUUUGACACAACUUCUCUUUCAGGAACUGGAGGUAAACCACCCUUACCAAGCUUUGUCUUUGGUUGGCUUGAUGAUGGGAAUACAUUUCAAGCAGGUGAUGUAGCAACUAUUAAGAUCAAGCUUUUGGAUGAUGCUUUCAAUGAUAAAAAUUUUAAUUUUAGCAGAUAUCCAGUGAACUUUUCCUUAUCGGCAGGUGAGAAGAAGGGAAAUAGUUCAUAUGGGUCUGGUGUAUUUCCAUAUCCUGAGGGGGAUCCUUUUUUUUGGAUUAUUUCUUUUAUUACCAUUUAGGUAGGGGAGUUUACAGUAGUUAUAACUGAAGAUCAUGUUGGCAUCAGCGAUUUAACUCGUCAUUUCUAUGUUACAGCUGAGAAGUUGGCAGGGGAAGUAAAUGGAAGGGGGAUGUGGUUGAAGGAAUGGGGGAUAGAUGAUGGCAAGGAGAUGCAAUGAAGUAAUCUUUCAAUACAUAACCGUACAAUUUGAUUGAUUAACAUGUGUACUUAUAAUCUGAUGGUUUGUAUCCUCUUUUGUCAUUUAAAUAAUAAACUAGUGUAAAUUAGUCAUGUUUGGUGAUGUAUUUAUCAGGUCAUUACAUGGGGAGUCAGUAAAAUUGCGCAUUAAGUUAUGUACAGCAGAUGGAUAUGGCUUGUUGGCUAUUUCUAUAGUUAUGUGCCCUCUAAUAGCAAAUUUACUUGAAGGGGAGUAUUUUUCUGAGGUCCACAAUGAUAUCAUUUCUGUUUGGGAGGAUAAACCAACUGCUUUUAUUGUCCUACUGACUGGUUAUGUUGCAGGAGGCAUAACUGGUAUUAUUGAACCAUCAACAGUGAGACUUUUAAUCAUUAACAAUUUAUUCAAUGCUAUCAAUUAAUAUGUUGUUGCUA